GAACUUCAAAAGCAGACACACUAUUCAAAACAGGCUGGCAGAAACUUAAUUAUGUGUUAAGCAUCGAACAGCAUUAAAUCCCAGCAUAUAAUGGAAGAAUCCACACACAGCAGUACACAAACGAGGCUUCGAGAGACCAAGCUGAAGAAAUUAAUGACUUAGACUAAAAAGUGGACCCCUCCUUGAACUUACAAGGUGUCUCUCCUCUAACCCACGUAUAACUAAGCAAAUGCACUUAUUUGUUGUAGACACCUGGUAAGGUGAGAAACUUUACACAAAUUGCCACAUUAUUUCAAAGACAGUUCAUAGGAGCUGUGUAGGCUCCAUUCUCUAUGAAGCUGAAAACAGAGUGUUAGUUUAAGAGCUCCAAAAUACUGUCCUGGUGCUCUAGGGUUUGCUCUCAUCGCUGCAUCACUAGCAAAACAGAUUUGCACGAGGCAUGGUUUACACCGAGGAAGGAGUGUGGUGUGAAGAAACUUCUCUUUCUUCCUCCUCCCUAGUUUUAAAUGUACAAAAACAUUACUUACGUUCAAAUCUCUAAAGUAUUCAUUGUAAUCUAGGGCGUAUCCCACAACAAAUUUGUCUGGCACUUCAAAUCCAACAACUGAAAAAGACCAUAAGUCACCAGUAUGUUAGAAAAAACUUCCUAAAAUGCAUUAAACCUUUUUAUAAAGAUAAUCUGAAGUUUUAUAAAGAAGUAGAUAUCCUAACUAUGUUUUUUUAUUCCACCCAAGUAUUCUAAGAUUAAUAAUCAAGCUAUUUAAAUUUUUAAUUUAAUUCCUUGAUUUCAUUCAUCAACUAAAACAAGAUUAAGUAGAUUUAUUCACUGGCUCCCAAGCAGCAGCACGGUGCUAGCGUGCAGUCUGCAAGAAUGAAUGAAAACAUUUAAUCUGCAGACAGGCUAUUCUCAUCAGAAUGUGCAAUUCUUUUAAAUUUUUCUGCAAAUUUGUAAAUAUAUAAAAGAGCCGGUAUUUCCCAACACUUGCUGUAUCUUUGAAAUGCCUUUGCACAAGCAGUGGAGCUGGUGUGCACAGCACGCGUCACCCUGGCACUGUCAUUCAAAAGGCUGCGCUUUGGGGAGGUCACUGCCCUUAUAGUGCUCUCUAUCCAAGGGAAUAAGGGGAAGGCAUGGUUUAGCCCCCAGUUCCUUCAGAACUACAAAUAUGCAAGUCCAACAGGACCCUCUGUGAAGAGCUAAGAGAGUGAGAACUGAAUAACACAAACAUCGUGAAGAACCACCGUUACUGCAGGGAAACCGAUCCCUCUUCGUUGAGUAACCAUCCAGAUGGACUCUGCUCUUGUGACUCACAGAGAGAGACUGGAAAUAUGCAGCUGGUCAUAAUGACAGAAUCAAGACUUCUUUAAAUCAUGAACACUUUACAGCCUAAGAAUAACUAAUGGGUCUGUGAGAAAGAGGCUAGGAGCUACUGCUCUGGACGGACUUUCAUUGUGAAAAGUGACUUAAUGAGGUUCUGUGUGUGUUUAGAAACUGCAGGUACAGUCAUUUUAGUUUACAGGUGACAACUUGGGACCUGGCCUGAACCUGAAAAGAACAAAGUUCUUUGCAAAAGCAUGAGUAUUACGAAACAGAAGGUCAGCUGGUUAAAGCAUCCUCAAUUGCACUUGUGCAAUGUGUCCUCAACUGUUUUUCACUGGCAGUACUAAUUACACCCAUAAAUAAAAUGUAAUCUGUUUUGAGGAUAAAGUGAUACAACAUUACACCAGUUCCACUUUCCCAGAGUUAAUAGUUGGAGAAGUAGAAAAAAAUGGAGAUGUACAGUUGGGGGUGCUGUAGUAGGGAGAAAUGCCUUGCCAGUUUAAUUUGACUCACUCAUUCAACUGAGCAUUUCUACCUUUUAUAAGAAGUUCCCACAUGCCUGACAUUUGCCUUUGAGACAGGGAGACUUUGGGAGGAAAAGAGAAGGUGGUUGAUGGCUAAAUGUAAAGACAGCUUGAGCCGAUCCAUAUUCUCAGAUAGCCAUCUGUUUAAGGGAAGGGGUCCCUAUUGCUUAAUCAGAGUAUGUUCUAUCAGUCUCUGAAAUUUAAGGUACUUCCAUUUGUGUUUUCCACCGUAAGCUACUAAGAUUAUCCCGUCUCCUUAAGGGGGCAGGGAGGAGAAUCUGAUACUCUCAAUGCAGAUAUUCUCCUCAGAACAGAGUCUCUUAGUCUAGAAAACAAUAUUCAUGAGUUCGGAGCUAGCCAGGAGCAGCUGUGCUAGCACAACUCUGCACAAGCACAGACCUCCUUCCCUGCUAGAUCACCACUCCAGGUCGGGGGGCAUUCAUCGGGUUCCUGGUUUCAGUUUUAGACAUGCAGAAACUUCUAUCAGGAAGACUUAAUUUUUGAGUAUCAGUGUAGGAUUUCAUAUAACAAACGACAAAUCACGUUAGCAUUAAUUGGCAUCACCCUGCUACAACUGCAUCACUUGUCAGAGAGCAAAUGAAAAUGAAAAGCAAGGCAAGUGAAGUAACUAAGAACAUCCUUAUACUUAAGACUGUCUACAAUGAUCACAUUUACUUUGCUCAGGUCUUUGACAGACCCAAAUUGCUGCAACAGGUUUUAAAAAUAGGAAGCUGGACUUUGCUCAUACUAUAUUCUACUCAGGAGGUACACUGCAAUGACAGGGCACUUCUCAAUGACAAACAUUUAAAAUUUGGCAUAUUUUUCAGACCAGGGAGAAAUCCGAAACGAUUUCACCUUCAACAGGUCACCACCAGAUUAUCAGCAAGAAGAGCUGUUCUAGUAGCUCUAACAACUGUUUUGGUAUUGUUAUGGCAACACAACUGAUUAGAUAUUAUACUCCACUCUGGUUUAUCUCUAAUCCCCAGCAAUCAUUAUGCUUUUAUUGUAAAAUACACAACCACAGCAUAGCAGUGUGAAAGACGCAACUUAAAAAGAAGUAGGAGGAAUGUUG